GACGAACGCUGGCGGCGUGCUUAACACAUGCAAGUCGAACGGAAAGGCCUGCUUUCCCUUGUGGAUUGCGGGUACUCGAGUGGCGAACGGGUGAGUAACACGUGAGUGAUCUGCCCCCAACUUGGGUAUAAGCCUGGGAAACUGGGUCUAAUUCCCGAUAGGACUGCAGGGUGGUGCCUGUGGUGGAAAACGAUUUUCUAGUGGUUGGGGAUGAGCUCGCGGCCUAUCAGCUUGUUGGUGGGGUAAUGGCCUACCAAGGCGGCGACGGGUAGCCGGCCUGAGAGGGUGGACGGGCACAUUGGGACUGAGAUACGGCCCAGACUCCUACGGGAGGCAGGAGUGGGGAAUAUUGCACCAUGGGCGGAAGCCUGAUGCAGCGACGGCGCGUGGGGGAUGACGGCCUUCGGGUUGUAAACUCCUUUCGACCGCGAGGAAGCCACAUGGUUGGAAGGGUGGUGACGGUAGUGGUAGAAGAAGCACCGGCUAACUACGUG
rnacentral:rRNA from 1 species